rnacentral:rRNA from 1 species
UACGUAGGGGGCUAGCGUUGUCCGGAAUCAUUGGGCGUAAAGCGCGUGUAGGCGGUCCGGUAAGUCCGCUGUGAAAGUCGGGGGCUCAACCCUGGAAUGCCGGUGGAUACUGUCGGGCUAGAGUCCGGAAGGGGCGAGUGGAAUUCCUGGUGUAGCGGUGAAAUGCGCAGAUAUCAGGAGGAACACCGGUGGCGAAGGCGGGUCUCUGGGCCAUAACUGACGCUGAGGAGCGAAAGCGUGGGGAGCGAACAGG